ACGCGGCGGCGGAGAUCGUCCCGUGUCGUCCGCCGGAGGCGGUGCCGUACUCCUCGCGAGCACGGACCAGCGGCGGUUGAACCGGAGCCAGAAGGCGGCAGCGGAAGGUGAGUUGAUGCGGGCCUGUCCGGCAUCGACAGCUUACAGCCCUGCCGUUCGGCGGUCCGGUCCGACCGAGGAAACAGGGCAGCCCUUGCCCGUCGUGGUACACGCCGCAUGGCGGGGCCUCCCGACACGAGUGAACCGUGCGGUCCGGACUGCACGCAGUGCGGAUCGUGGCGGCGAUCUCGUGCCGGAGAGUGCCACCCGUGUGCCAGUGCUGCUGGUAUUCAGAC
rnacentral:misc_RNA from 1 species